AGGAGAAAGGAAAGUUAGUGAGAAAAUAUGAUAAUAAUAAUAAUAAUAAUAAUAAUAAUAAUAAUAAUUUUGUUUUGAUACGAUACAUGAUUGUACAAGGAAUAUAAAAGUUGGGGGUACAUGCCAAAAGCCCCUUUGUAUGCACAGCAUUUCAGGCAAACUUAAAAUUAACUUUAGAUUAAUAAGGCAAUAACAGUUCAUAUAGUCAUUAGAUGAGUUACAAUGAGUACAAGAGAAAUGAGCAUUCUAUUAGGUAAUUUUAUAAGGCUUUAAUACGUCUAGUAGAGAAGUUCAGUAUAGAAUUACAGUUUUGAUACAGCUUAUAAUAUACCGAAGGUAAUGAAAUCAAGAGUAUGAAAUUUGAUGGAAAACUUACAGAAUUAUCCUCUUACAAAGUUAGCGAUCUUGGCGAUAUUUACACAUCGGCAAGUUUGCCCAAUUUACGCUCUAUUUUUGGCCAAUUCCAUUGUUUCAGUCGACCAAACUCAUAGCUUGUUUUGCUAGUAUUCCUUCCAUUCUAUCAAAUGAACACAAGAAACUGCCCAUUUACCUAUUUCAACUACCUAAUAAAGUGAUCAGAAAUUGGUAAAUUGGCCAAUUUCACACAAAGUUCGGUAAUUGCCAAUUUGAAAAUAGGAUCUAGAAUAAACAAUGUAGAUAUUCCUGGCACUAAAUAAACAUUUCCAUUGCUUCUUAGACAUGUCUCAAGGCCCCUCUUAUAUUAUGCUUGCUUUUCAUUUUGAAUUUUUAUUCACACAAAAAAACUGAAAAUUUACUUUUAUGCAGACUACUGCAUUAUUGCAAUAACUGUAUAAAUAAUGUCAGUGCAUUCCUAAAUGCAUAUUAGACUGGCCAGUUGAAUGCAUAUUGGACAAGUGUACUCUGGAACAUCAGUAAAAAUCAAACAUUUCCAUUACUCAGAGCUCAAUUUCAAGCUACUUUCAGUCCUGAAACUAACCAAACUCAUCUCUAUUUCUGUAAUAUACCUUCCAUUCUAUCAAAUGAGAAUAAGAAAUUGAGAAUAUAACCAUAAAAACCAUACGACAAUACACUGCAAAGUCGCUGUUGUAAACCAAAAACACGAUCAGUUUUUUCUUAUGCAAUGUGUGCUGCAGGAUUUUUUUUUUAUAUGGUGCACACUUACCACAUAGACCCAUUUUCUCAUAUCUAGGCCCAAAUUUAUCACUCACAGCUUAUCUGAGUGAGAUGAGCUCAUGGCGUCAUACUACGGGACUGACACUGGCUUCAAAGCCGUGAUACAGCGGGACCAACAAUGAAAGGAUUAAAAUACUACAACAGAGGGAGAAGCAAGCAGUGUCUCAGUACCUAAGGAUUCACCAUGAUGCAUGGAGGUGUGCCUCACUCCACGAUAAAAUAUAGUCGUGUUUGUUUGGUUGAGUGCUAAGCUUUGUUCGAGUAUGGAGCUGUUCAAGUACCAAGGUUCCACUGUAAUCAGCUACACAUGCAUUUCCUGGAAUAUCUUGAAAAAUUCUGGUCCAUGGCUGUCCCGAUACCUGCAUCCCUGGGUCACAUGCAGAGAGAUUGCUGAUAAUUGGUUGGAGACUGAAGAGGGCUGACAACACUGGUGAUUGUGGAGCACUGGAUAGAGGAAGAUGUGGAAGAAAAUGCAAGGUUAUCAUAAGAAAUAGUGUGAAGGAUCCCAAGACCAACAAAGAUCUACAGAGAAAUUUGACUUCAGCUGGUAUAAAUGUUGAUUCUUCAACUGUUCAAUGAAGGCUUCUUGAAGUUGGCAGAACUGCCAGAAAGCCGGUAAAGAAACAAUUAUUGACUGCUACUAUGAAAAAAAAGGGCUGCGGUGAGCACCUGAUUUUAAGGGAUGGACAACAUAUGAAUGGAAAAAAGUUCAAUUUUCAGAUGAGGUGCAUUUUCAAGUUUAUGGGUACAGAUCAGUGGUAGUGAGAUGGAGCAAAGGUGAACCUCUUUGGAAUGAACACAUUGAACAAGUGCCAAAACACCCACCUAAGAAGAUGUUUUGAGGUAGUUUUACUGCUAAAGGCCCUGGAUGGCUUGUUAUUGUUGAGGGAAUGAUGAACAAUGACAAAGAGAAGCCAAUUCUCAUUUGCUUUCCAUUGUGGAUAGAGACUUUCCUGAUGGAAAAGGCAUUUUCCAGCAGGAUCUUACUCUGUGCCACACUUUCAGAAAAAUGCUGACAUUCUUUGAAGAGAGUGGGAUAAGCAUUCUAAAUUUGCCUGGAACCUCUCCUUACCUCAACCCUACUGAGAAUCAAUGGGCAAUAACCAAACGCAGGAUUACGAAACAGGACUGUUCAACUGUGGAGAAAAUAACUCCUGUUAUUAGGACCUGGUACCACAAUGAAGAACUUGCCAAAAUGUGUUCAACAUUGACAGGUCUAUUCCAAAGCACAUAGUAAUGCUUAUAAAAGCAAAAGGUAGUCAUAUUGCUUAUUAAAUCAAUUAUCUGUCAAAUCAUUACUGUGUAUUUUUCAAAUAAACAUUAAUUUU